rnacentral:rRNA from 1 species
UACGGAGGGGCGAGCGUUGUCCGAAGUUACUGGGCGUAAAGCGCGUGUAGGCGGGUUGUCAAGUCCGCUGUGAAAGCCCGAGGCUCAACCUCGGAGGGUCGGUGGAUACUGACAGUCUUGAAGGUGCUAGGGGGAGAUGGAAUUACCGGUGUAGCGGUGAAAUGCGUAGAGAUCGGUAGGAACACCAGUGGCGAAGGCGGUCUCCUGGGGCAUUCUUGACGCUGAGACGCGAAAGCUGGGGGGAGCGAACGGG